AUUGAACGCUGGCGGCAGGCUUAACACAUGCAAGUCGAACGGUAACAUAAAGAAGCUUGCUUCCUUGAUGACGAGUGGCGGACGGGUGAGUAAUGCUUGGGAAUCUAGCUUAUGGAGGGGGAUAACUACGGGAAACUGUAGCUAAUACCGCGUAGAAUCGAGAGAUGAAAGUGUGGGACCUUCGGGCCACAUGCCAUAGGAUGAGCCCAAGUGGGAUUAGGUAGUUGGUGAGGUAAAGGCUCACCAAGCCGACGAUCUCUAGCUGGUCUGAGAGGAUGACCAGCCACACUGGGACUGAGACACGGCCCAGACUCCUACGGGAGGCAGCAGUGGGGAAUAUUGCGCAAUGGGGGCAACCCUGACGCAGCCAUGCCGCGUGAAUGAAGAAGGCCUUCGGGUUGUAAAGUUCUUUCGGUAGCGAGGAAGGCAUUUAGUUUAAUAGACUAGGUGAUUGACGUAA
rnacentral:rRNA from 1 species